rnacentral:rRNA from 1 species
UGGGGAAUCUUGGGCAAUGCCCGCAAGGGUGACCCAGCGACGCCGCGUGCGGGAAGAAGCCCUUCGGGGUGUAAACCGCUUUUCUGGGGGAAGAAUAAGGCGGGGAGGAAAUGCCCCGCCGAUGACGGUACCCCAGGAAUAAGGGACGGCUAACUACGUGCCAGCAGCCGCGGUAAGACGUAGGUCCCGAGCGUUGCCCGGAUUUACUGGGCGUAAAGUGCGCGUAGGCGGUUCGGCAAGUCGUCCGUGAAAGCCCGGGGCUCAACUCCGGGAGGCCGGGCGAAACUGCCGGGCUAGAGGACGGCAGAGGAGGGUGGAGCGGCCGGAGUAGCGGUGAAAUGCGUAGAUACCGGCCGAAAUCCCGAUGGCGAAGGCAACCCUCUAGGCCGGUCCUGACGCUGAGGCGCGAAAGCGUGGGGAGCGAACC